rnacentral:rRNA from 1 species
AUCAAAUUCCGUGAUAGCUGGUUCUCUCCGAAAUGCAUUUAGGUGCAGCGUCGGAUCGAUUACAUCCGGGGGGUAGAGCGACUGGAUGCUUGCGGGCCCAUAUCGGGUACCAACAGCAACCAAACUCCGAAUACCCGUGAUGCGUAUCCCGGCAGUGAGUCGGCGGGGGAUAAGCUCCGUCGUCGAAAGGGAAACAGCCCAGAUCGUCGUCUAAGGUCCCCAAGCGUGUGCUAAGUGGGAAAGGAUGUGGAGUCGCAUAGACAGCCAGGAGGUUGGCUCAGAAGCAGCCACCCUUGAAAGAGUGCGUAACAGCUCACUGGUCUAGUGGUUCCGCGCCGACAAUGUAGCGGGGCUCAAGCACACCACCGAAGACGCGGCAGUAGCUUUGCUACUGGGUAGGAGAGCGUCCCAUGCGGGGCGAAGCGGCGGCGCAAGCCCGCCGUGGACCGCAUGGGAGUGAGAAUGCAGACAUGAGUAGCGAAAGACGGGUGAAGAUCCCGUCCGCUGGACGACCAAGGGUUCCAGGGCCACGUUCAUCGUCCCUGGGUGAGUCGGGUCCUAAGGCGAGGCCGACAGGCGUAGUCGAAUGGACGAACGGGUCGAUAUUCCCGUACCGGCAUGCAACCGGCAAAACCGAAUCCGCGAGUACUAACCUCCGGGUCCGGGCUUACGUCUCCUUCGGGAGCCGGAUGCCCUGGCCUGUUGGGACCGUAACGGUAGUAGGUCAGCGCGGGAGUGACGCAGAAGGGUAGCCGGCCGCGGAGGUGGUCUUCCGUGGUCAAGCACGCAGCCCGUCCCACAGGCAAAUCCGUGGGGCGCGUGGGCGAGGUGCGAUGAUGGGCGCCGCAGGGCGCGAUAUCCGGUGAUCCCGGCUGCCGAGAAAAGCUUCGGCGUGAGGCGGCGUGCCGCCCGUACCCCAAACCGACACUGGUGGUCAGGUAGAGAAUACCAAAGCGAUCGAGCGAAUCCUGGUCAAGGAACUCGGCAAAUCACUCCCGUUCCUUCGGUUUAAGGGAGACCCCCGAUGGUGAACACACUUGCUGUGGGAGCUUUUGGGGGUGGCACAGACCAGGGGGUAGCGACUGUUUACCAAAAACACAGGAGCGUGCGAAGGCGCAAGCCGCUGUAUACGCUCUGACGCCUGCCCGGUGCCGGAAGGUUAAGAGGAUCCGUCAGGCCUCGGCCGAAGCGGUGAAUUCAAGCCCCGGUAAACGGCGGUGGUAACUAUAACCAUCCUAAGGUAGCGAAAUUCCUUGUCGGGUAAGUUCCGACCUGCACGAAUGGCGUAACGACUUCCCCACUGUCUCGACCAGGAGCUCGGCGAAAUUGCAGUACGAGUAAAGAUGCUCGUUAAGCGCAGAAGGACGAAAAGACCCCGGGACCUUUACUAUACCUUGGUAUUGGCAUUCGGUGUGGAUUGUGUAGCAUAGGCGGAAGGCUUCGAAGCCACGGCGCCAGCCGCGGUGGAGCCGCAAGGUGAAAUACCGCUCUGUUCGCAUUGGAUGUCUAACCUCGACCAGUCAUCCUGGUCAGGGACAGUGCCUGGCGGGUAGUUUAACUGGGGCGGUUGCCUCCCAAAGAGUAACGGAGGCGCUCAAAGGUUCCCUCAGCCCGGUUGGCAAUCGGGUGGCGAGUGUAAGUGCACAAGGGAGCUUGACUGCGAGACUGACGGGUCGAGCAGGGACGAAAGUCGGAACUAGUGAUCCGGUGCCGGUGUACGGACGCGGCAUCGCUCAACGGAUAAAAGGUACCCCGGGGAUAACAGGCUGAUCAUUCCCAAGAGUCCAUAUCGACGGGAUGGUUUGGCACCUCGAUGUCGGCUCGUCGCAUCCUGGGGCUGGAGCAGGUCCCAAGGGUUCGGCUGUUCGCCGAUUAAAGCGGCACGCGAGCUGGGUUCAGAACGUCGUGAGACAGUUUGGUCUCUAUCCUCUGCGCUCGUCGGAAUGUUGAGGAGGCCUGCCCAUAGUACGAGAGGACCUGGGUGGACGAACCUCUGGUAUGCCGGUUGUCACGCCAGUGGCACGGCCGGUUGGCUACGUUCGGAAGGGAUAACCGCUGAAAGCAUCUAAGCGGGAAGCCUGCUCCAAGAUAAGCAUUCCAUAGGACUACGGGUCCUUGAAGUCCCCAUGCAGAACACGUGGUUGAUAGGCCGGACGUGGAAGCCCCGCGAGGGGUGGAGCCGACCGGUACUAACGGACGAAAGGCAACACGAC